UCAUUAGCACAACUUUACCAGAAGUUACAACCAGGAGUAGACGGGAGGCCUGGAAGGCUUUAAGAUGAACUGAUUCCAUCUUUUAUAAGGUUUCUGCAGUUCUCAUCCUCAAUGGUGACAUAGCUCCUGGAUCUCAUGGGUCUUAAAUGGGGCUUCCUCACAUACCUGUGACCCUGCAACCCUAGCCCAAGCUCUGCCCUCAGGACUGAAGAAAAUCUGGGUGGGCCCUCAUGUGAUGCAACACAAACCAACUGACCCUUGCUGAGAGCCUUGCUGGGAUCCUGAGACUCAGUUUGAGGACAAGGCUUCUGUCACCCAUAUGAUGUGCUUGACUUCUGGCUGCAGGACUUGGGGUUGGUUUCUCUGGGCCUGGAGACUUGUCUUAGGAACCUGGCCAGUCCUUUCAGACCGACUGGAAUGGGGCCUUGCCUUGUUCUUGAGAGAUUCACCAUUCCUACUCCCCAUCCUAUGCCACACCAGGAACUG
rnacentral:lncRNA from 1 species